rnacentral:rRNA from 1 species
GCAGUAGCCGCGGUAAUACGUAGGGUGCAAGCGUUAAUCGGAAUUACUGGGCGUAAAGCGUGCGCAGGCGGUUAUAUAAGACAGAUGUGAAAUCCCCGGGCUCAACCUGGGAACUGCAUUUGUGACUGUAUAGCUAGAGUACGGCAGAGGGGGAUGGAAUUCCGCGUGUAGCAGUGAAAUGCGUAGAUAUGCGGAGGAACACCGAUGGCGAAGGCAAUCCCCUGGGCCUGUACUGACGCUCAUGCACGAAAGCGUGGGGAGCAAACAGGAUUAGAUACCCGCGUAGUCCCUGUCUCUUAUAC